AGCAGCCGCAGUAAUUUCAGCUCGAAUAGCGUAUAAAGUUGUUGCAGUUAAAAAGCUCAUAGUUGAAUUUUGGGGCUAGUAAGUUGGUCGUGCCUUCAGUAUGUACUGACUUUACUGAUUUCUCUUCUUGACGAACCAUGAUGUCAUUAAUUUGGUGUUGCGGGAAAUCAGAACUGUUAAUUUGAAAAAAUUAGAGUGUUUAAAGCAGGCUAACGCUUGAAUACAUUAGCAUAGAAUAAUGAAGUAGGACGUUAAUCCUAUUUUGUUGGUUUCUAGGAUUGACAUAAUGAUUAAUAGGGAUAGUUGGGCAUUAGUAUUCAAUUGUCAGAUGUGAAAUUCUUGGAUUUAUUGAAGACUAACUACUGCGAAAGCAUUUACCAAGGAUGUUUUCAUUAAUCAAGAACGAAAGUUAGAGGAUCAAAAUGAUCAGAUACCAUCGUAGUCUUAACCAUAAACUAUGCCGACUAGAGAUCAGAUGAUGUUAAUUUUUUUAAUUGUACUU
rnacentral:rRNA from 1 species